CCCUAGCCUGAGUGACAGAGUGAGGUCCUGUCUCAAACGAACAAACAACAACAACACAGAACCUUAGGCAAUCUAACAAAAAUGUAGUUUUGGUCAAUUUUUGCUAUUUUAAAUUCCUGAUUUUUCUUUACAUUCUAAUGCAAAGGGAAAUGAAAGCACUGGUGAGACCUAGGCUGGAGGGGCCUGCCCUCGGCCUACUGUAUGUUACCUCUGGGUGACCUCUGCAAAAUCUCCAGAGGCAUCUUGGGUGAGGAAUAAGCCAAUGUGAGCAUCUCAGAAAAGGUUUUCACUUUAGGCCUUCCUGAAGCAAGAGCCUAAGAGAGUUGGGAUAGAGCAGGAGCACAUCAUGCUCUCUUAAGCAUUUCCCACCAAGUGACCUGGAUACAGGGCUGUCUCUAGGGUGUGGGUGCUUGGCUACCAGAGUUCUAAGUUUUGUUGGGGUCUGUCACCAAGGUAGUAAGAUGGCUUUUUCAAAGUUUCAUCCUCUGGGCUCCUGGCUUCCAUAAGACCUACCCAAAGGCCCUGCUGGGCUAUUGACUGCUCACUAUCCCUGCAUGUCAACUCUUUACCUGUGCACAGUUAUGCAAGUACAGCCCUUCUCAGUUCCCUGGAAAGACCUGAAUGCAGCCAGGGCCUCAGGUGUGAGAUCACAGAUCCAGGUCACGCUGUUAUAGCAAAGAUAGACUGAGCCGCUUAUCAACAACAGAAUGUUCUUCUUCACAGUUCUGGAGGACAGAAGUUGAAGAUCAGAACGCCAGCAUGGAUGGAGUCUGGACAGAGGCUCCCUUUUCCUACAGUUGGAAUGAGGGAUGGGGAGAUUUGAUGGUGUCCUGUACAAGUUGGAUGUUAAUUUGACGUGGUGCUGCUGGAGAAGCUUGCCUGAGUCAGGCACAUUCUCAGCACGUGGUAUGUGCUGCCCCUUCAAAGCUGCAGGAGUCUCAGAAGUUAUGCUGGCUUCUAUCCACAGCUGCACUCCAGGUGGGGAAUACCUAUGGAUGCACCAGGGUGCAACUACUCAAAGACUCCAGUGUGCAGAAGGGCCCCUGCUCCAUGUUGUUCCCAUAUCCAAGCCCAAGCUCAUCUAGGACUUCAGCAAACCCAAGCUUCCCUGAAUUCCCUGCUGAGACCAAACUGAGCCCUGUGACCCACACUACUACACUGGCUGGAAGGGGGACUCCAGAAACUUGGGAAACCCAGGCUUACAGCUGGCAUAUGGAAAACAGGCCUGGAAGAGCACCACUCCUGUCCAUGAAGCCCCCCAGAUGAAACCAGGAGGGAGGAACAUCUGACCCCACGCACAAGUGGAGACACUAGGUGUGGGCAGGUCCCAGUGGUUGCUGCAGGUGAACCUUCCCAACCAACCACACAAGGCCAUCUCAGGUUCGGGGAGUAGGGGGACCUCUCCCACUCCUUCCAGGAGCCACGUCUUUCAAGAUGAGGCACUCUGCCUCCCUGUUCCCAUUUGGCCCCAAUAGGCCAUUGCCAACAUUCAGAGAACAAAAAGAAAGGAGCCUCACCCGUUUUCCCUGACACAUCGGAGGCAGGGAGGAGAUACCAAGAGGUCAUCACACAGGCCAUGGACGAGUUCUACAAGAGCCAGGUAGAAGAGAACUGUCCAGGCAUGCUGCCCAGCACCCAGCUCACACACGCAUCUCUUAUUUGAAGCUUCCCCAAAGCAGGUCUUGAAGUCCAGCCUCCCUGAGAAGCUGCGGAGGAGACUCGGCUGAGCUAAAGGGCCUAUCACCAAAUGUGCCACCCUUGCUUGUCUCAUCCUGGCAAUCUUGGAUUAUUUUUGCCCUGAAAUUUUGGAGCAGGGGACAGGGAAGACAGAAGACAGUGUGUAUCAGCCCUCCAGACUGAGGCAGGUCAGACCUCCACUCGGGUACUUUUCUCCUCACUAGUUGCCAGCUGGGGGAAGCAGCACUUGUGAGCACCUGCCUGUCUCCCCAGGUCCUGUUGAGAAACCCCAUCUGUGCCUUUAGAGACUGCCCAGAUUACACAGACCCAGCAACCGCAUCUACAGCCCCCAGGGCCUAUCCCUUUCUACAUGGGUUUCACUGCAUGUGAGUACACGGUGGGCUUGAUUCCUGCCCACUACUCCCUGCCAGAUACCCCAUGCCCUCCUCAUGAAGAAAAUGAGGCCACACGGACACACUCAACCCAUCAUGGUGAGAGGGUGGCUGAGGCUCUACUUGCCUACCCUUCAUUGCUGGUUCAGGGCCAGCUGUCUGGCCAUAUCCCUACCCAGAGGUGGGACUUUGGGGACAUUGUCCACCGGGAUCACUGGCCACUUUUAAAGUUCCAAAAACAGAAGAUCAGCUAGUCCCCUCAGAGUUCAGUACAUGGGAUAAGCUGCAGCUUGCCUUCAGGAACAGGUUUCCCACCAAGUAGAUGCCCAAGGCCCAGGGCACGCCCAAGUUUGUGUGAAGCCUGUCUGCCAUGUCCAAAGCCCAUGCUGACCCCCCCAACCCUGGAGCCACUGGAAUGCUUGUUCCUGGGCAUAUAAGACCAAGAUAGCUGCAGCCUUGCAGGACCACUAUGCCCAUCUGGCAGCAGCACCCAGAGGGCCUAGAGAAAGAAGUUGGAGGUGAAACCAGAUGCUGUUAGGAUGUUUUAUCAGGCAAAACCACAUACUAUAAAAAGGCUUUAAAAUGCAACAGAAGGAGAUGUGAAGACACAAACAAGUGCCUAGUGACACAUGGCUAUCAGAACACAUUAGAGAAUCCACACCACUUCCCCCCUUUAACCAGAAAGGGCAGGCUUUAGGCCACCUCCUCC
rnacentral:lncRNA from 1 species